GGGAACUGGAGGGGCUGCGUUCUCGUUUCCGCUGCGCGUGGGGUGGCGGUGCGUGCUCGCUAAGGAUGCUCCGCGGGGCGGUCGGCGCUUGCCGCUGGGGCCUGAGAACCGGGAGGUGCGGGGGCGAGGCGAGGCGAGAGUGUGUUUGUGCAGUAGCCAUGGGUGAUCUUCCUGGCAUCACAGGGAUAGGCAUGUGGUGAAAGCUUCUAAGCAUGUGAAGAGUGUGUACUAGAAGGUGACGAAGUACUGACACCCCAGCUCUCCUGCAGUUUUAUGAGGAAGAAUUGUUAGAACCAGCCUGAAACCAGUGGCAAUGCAAGACUACUCCCUUAGAAACAAAAAGCUGUUAAGGACUUGGGAAUGUUAAGCCUUUAAAUGCUUACACUAACACGAGUUAUUUCUAACUGUAUUAGAACAGUGCUUAUGUAGACAUAAAAAAAAAAAAAAAUAAAGAUUUAUGUUUCUGUUAUUAGAA
ensembl:lncRNA